UACGGAGGGUGCAAGCGUUAUCCGGAUUCACUGGGUUUAAAGGGUGCGUAGGUGGGUUGAUAAGUCAGUGGUGAAAUCCCCGAGCUUAACUUGGGAACUGCCAUUGAUACUAUUGAUCUUGAAUACCGUGGAGGUCAGCGGAAUAUGUCAUGUAGCGGUGAAAUGCUUAGAUAUGACAUAGAGCACCAAUUGCGAAGGCAGCUGGCUACACAAAUAUUGACACUGAGGCACGAAAGCGUGGGGAUCAAACAGG
rnacentral:rRNA from 1 species